rnacentral:rRNA from 1 species
UACAGAGGUCUCAAGCGUUGUUCGGAUUCAUUGGGCGUAAAGGGUGCGUAGGUGGCGGGGCCAGUCGAGGUGUGAAAUCCCGGGGCUUAACCCCUGGAACUGCAUUUGAUACUGCCUUGCUGGAGAACUGGAGAGGAGACUGGAAUUUACGGUGUAGCAGUGAAAUGCGUAGAGAUCGUAAGGAAGACCAGUGGCGAAGGCGAGUCUCUGGACAGUUACUGACACUGAGGCACGAAGGCCAGGGGAGCAAACGGG